GAUGAACGCUGGCGGCGUGCCUAAUACAUGCAAGUCGAGCGAACGGACGAGAAGCUUGCUUCUCUGAUGUUAGCGGCGGACGGGUGAGUAACACGUGGAUAACCUACCUAUAAGACUGGGAUAACUUCGGGAAACCGUAGCUAAUACCGGAUAAUAUUUUGAACCGCAUGGUUCAAAAGUGAAAGACGGUCUUGCUGUCACUUAUAGAUGGAUCCGCGCUGCAUUAGCUAGUUGGUAAGGUAACGGCUUACCAAGGCAACGAUGCAUAGCCGACCUGAGAGGGUGAUCGGCCACACUGGAACUGAGACACGGUCCAGACUCCUACGGGAGGCAGCAGUAGGGAAUCUUCCGCAAUGGACGAAGGCCUGACGGAGCAACGCCGCGUGAGUGAUGAAGGUCUUCGGAUCGUAAAACUCUGUUAUUAGGGAAGAACAUAUGUGUAAGUAACUGUGCACAUCUUGACGGUACCUAAUCAGAAAGCCACGGCUAACUACGUG
rnacentral:rRNA from 1 species